GUUUCAUGGAAGAGGGGAUGUCCAACUCAAGCUUCUCCUCUACCUGAGAGCUGCAUCUCUUUGAACUGUGGCAAUGCAGAGCAGAAAGCAGCUUCUCCAGCUGAGGCUGCAGGGAACACUCUGCUACGUGAGGACUGGAAGGAUAAGCAGAGCUUCUCACCCAUAUCUGGGAUGCAGGAAGCAGCUGGAAAAAACAGAAAAAGAAAAGAAAAAGGAGACUUUCUUCAUGUGUAAAUUUUCUGGAGUUUAAAGACACAUGACUUCGAUGUUACUGAGGAUUGUGUCAUAAUCAUCAAACGGAGCUGGUGCCAAAUAAACCAGAUGGAGCUUUCA
ensembl:lncRNA